GCUGUUAUCAGCUAGUCCUUCCUAUGUGGUUUGGCGUGCUCGAGACACUUGUGAAUGGGUGUGCCCGGCUUCCAAUGAUUAGAAUGUGUGGCUGUGUCACAGAAGGCUGGCUGUCAUCUCUGCUCCUUCACACACAGGAGUGUUGUAAGUGACUUUUCAAACACAUCUUAGUUCUUCAAACCUCUAGGAAAACGAUUUCAUAAGAUCAGAAGCUCUGCACAUUCUAUAAGAAAUAAUUUUCUUAAAAAAAAAAAAAGGAUGUGUGAGGUAACAAUGAAGAAACUUCCGGAGAGCUGAGGAAGAGCAUGAAACCUUCGAGUAUUAAUCAAGGAACUGCUAUGUAUGGCUUUCUAUACUCCAUGAGAGGACAGUUGUGAGCCUGGGGACAGAUCCAGUGACCCGGGAUUGCAGCUCCUACCCGUGUCCCUCUGGGGACCAUCACCGUGGUCUGAAGGAAAGACAGGGAACAAAAAUGGAACAGAGACUGAAGGAAAGGCCAUCCACAGACUGCCCCACCUGGGGAUCCAUCCCAUCUGCAGAUGCCAAACCCCCACACUAUUGCUGAUGCCAAGAAGCGCUUGCUGACAGGAGCCUGCUAUGACUGUUCCCGGAGAGACUGUACCAGCACCUGACCAAUACAGAUGCAGCACUCACAAUAGCCAAGCGAUGCAUCCAAACUAGGAGUCUAUCACUGCGAGAAGACAAAUGGGGCCCAUGUACACAGCGGGAUCUUUUUCAGCCAUAAAGAAAAACGAAAUCAUGGCACUCGCAGGAAAAUCGAUGGAACUGGAGACCAUUAUGUGACAUGAAGUAAGUUGGAUCCCGAAACACGAAUACACUCUUUCCGUUAUAUGUGCAAAUUAUAUUUAAAUGCAUAUAUGUUUGUUCAGGUUACAAAACCUAAACAGGAAGGGGGAUAUGAGGGAGGAGGAAGAGAUCGUAAGGGGGGAUAUGUGUGAUUGCACAGGAGGAGAAAGGGAC